rnacentral:snRNA from 1 species
GUGAUCAAUUCGGCAGCACAUACACUAAAAUCGGAACAAUACAGAGAAGAUUAGUAUGGCCCCUGCACAAGGAUGAUACGCAAAUUUGUGAAGAUAUUAAAAAAAAA